CUGAAUAGAAAAAAACACAUGGCGGACCAUUUCAUGAAAGGAGCCAGUGGUAGCACAGCUUUUGUGUCCAAAUAGUACACUCCCUCCCAUGGUCCCCACUCAGCAAUGCCACUGCUAAUAAGGACAACCAUAGAACACAAACCAUCACUGGUAAACCAGACCCCUACAGCAAGAUGGACUCCUCUGGGUGUGAGACCUCUCACCAGUCACAUGCUUCCAGACAGGCCAGUCAGCAGCAAGUCGACAGAAGCCUGCUCCCACGUCCUAGGAGACACAUCUUCAUGCCCACUAUGACUAUCAUGUAUAAUUUAGUUAUCAAAUAGCUCCAGUACCAUUUAUUAAGGCUGUCCAACCUUCGCCACCAGGCGAUGUCUAGGCCAUUUCCUCUUUUGCAUAUGUAUUUCUUAACUGUUGG